UUGUUGCCGGAGAUCUGCAGAGGUGGGAAGCUGGUAGUGAUAAUUUUCAUAUGCUUGAGCAACUAAUAUUGCAUCAGUUGCGUGAUCUGGAGGAGAUUCCCGAGAGUAUUGCAGAUAUAAUGACACUAAAAUUCAUCCAAAUAAACUGUUGCGGCUCUGGUGUAGACACUAGUGCAACGAAAAUUCAAGAAGAGCAACAAAGCUUAGGAAAUUAUGAGCUUCAAGUUUGAAUUACUCCUAUGCCCGACUUAGCUCGAGCUACUACACCUGUUGCUUGGAACAGCUGGGAUAAGAAAUCUUUACGGAAUAGGGAGACAGUGAAGGUGCCACUUGUUAGGCGCGUGAUUGAGGUGUCUCGUAGAGCUUCGAAGCUUUUAAAACGUACCCUAAUGGGGUUUGGAAAAGAUCGC